rnacentral:lncRNA from 1 species
AGAUUCAGGCUGUAUUUAGUGGGGGAGGGAUCUGGCCUCAUAUCCUUCAUCUUUAUGCUGCUCCACUCCAGCUCACAGCCCCUCCAACUGGAUGGAGCUCUUCGAAGGGAGGGGCAUUUCAGAGGAGGGUCUCAGGGAUAGCCCCUUUGUGGGGCUGGGCCACCAGGUUGGGGAGAGUGGAGCUGCUGGAACUCUGGAGGGACUGGCUGAGCCAGCUUUCCCAGUGCACCCCUCUGGGAGGGCAGGCUCUCGGUGUAGGCUGCCCAUCUCCUCGCUCUCCUCUGGCACUGCUCCUAUGCCCCCUUGGUUAGCCUGGGAGCCCAUACUACCCAGACUUGGGGUCAAUAAGCAGAGGACCUGUAAGGAGUCCUUGAUGGGAUGUACAGCACUGCCCAACCCUGCACAAGAUAACCCAUGGGCUCCUGAGAGCAGAGAUUGUGACUUACUCAUCUUUGAUGUAGCCAAGUUCUAACAAACCUAAAUGUGCAGCCAUUUGUAAGAGAGGAUCAUGGAAUGAAUACGGGCAUUGAGUCAAGCAGUCUGUGUUCCACUGGCGGUGUGACCUGGGGCAGGCCAUUUCACCUCACUGAGCCUUAGUUUCCUCACCUGUAAAAUGUGAAAAAUAUCACCUUCCUUACCAGGCUUUUCUGAGGAUUUAAUGACAUCAUGUUCAGUGCCCAGUAUGGGUGGAUAAUACCCAGGAGUUUCCUCCUCUUCUCCUCCUAAGUUGACUUGAUGCCCCCCGCUGAAGAUCAUGGCUGAACUGGCUCAAUUCGGAUCCAGGACUCCUGGCUUUGUCUCUUCCCUAGUUGCCCACCACACCCAUGGACACCCUUAGGUAGUUUAUCCUUUUGGGACAACUGGAUUUAUUAGAAAAGGGUAUUCUGGGGUGGAAUAAGGCCCUUUUCAGUCCCCAUGGAGCCUUUUUGGAAGAUGAAGUUCUCAAACCCACAAGAGAAUUCAUAAGACGAGCACACCACCCACAGUUAGGUUUCCCUCUCAAGUGCUUUAUCUCCACGUGGGGCAAAUAGCUCUUUGUCUGCAUAUGUUAUUGGAGCUUUUGGAGUCCAGCCUUCAGAAGAGCUCUAAUUUUUGGAUUCAUAUCAGUUUAUUAGAGAAGCCUAGUUCUAAGGAUUAGCAAAUGGGUAGGUGCUCAGCCAGCCCAGAACAAGCAGAGCCAUGACAGAAGUUUCUGGAAUCUCACAGAGUCGGUGUCUUCAUGGACUCAGGGGGCCUAAAUCCAAUAGCCUGGAUUUGUCACUUUCCCUUAUUCCCUUAUCAAACUCUUCCCUUUUGGACAUCAGAGAAGGAAAGUACUUCCUGUAAGGGGGCAAUUUGCAAAGCUUCAUGGAAGUGGCAUUUGAGUGUGGCCUUAAAGGAUGUGUAGGAUUGGGAACCAUAGAUAUUUAGAGGAAGGCAUUCCUGGCAGAAGGAACAGCAGCAAAACACAGAAGUGGAAAUUAGUAGCAGCAUUAAUGGAGAAUAAUUUGGGGAAUAAGAUAUACAAAUGGAAUAAUAAAAAUAGCAUUAAUUAAA